UCCGAGUUGUCCCCGGCAGUCUCUACAGGGUCACAUGAUCUCUCCGAUUACCGACAAUCUCGAUCAUGGACUUCCCUCGGGAUUGCCCGCGACUUUGUCGCUAGGGUUUCCCCGAUAUGAGCCGGUGUUUCCUCAGGCAAUUACUCGCCUGGGGGCCAAUCGUCGAUUAGCCAUGCAGCACCUGUGCUAGCCCCCGAAGGACACGGGCUUUCACCCGCUUUAACUAGCAUGUCAAGCCCAGGUAAGGUUCUUCGCGUUGCAUCGAAUUAAGCCACAUGCUCCGCCGCUUGUGCGGGCCCCCGUCAAUUCCUUUGAGUUUUAGCCUUGCGGCCGUACUCCCCAGGCGGAGUGCUUAAUGCGUUAGCUGCGGCACGGAGAGGGUUGAAGACCUCCCCACACC
rnacentral:misc_RNA from 1 species